CCUACGGGAGGCAGCAGUAGGGAAUUUUCGUCAAUGGGCGCAAGCCUGAACGAGCGAUGCCGCGUGAGUGAAGAAGGCCUUCGGGUCGUAAAGCUCUGUUGCGGGGGAAAAAAUGGUCACGUGUGGCCAGACGAGAGUACCGUACGAAUAAGCCUCGGCUAACUCCGUGCCAGCAGCCGCGGGAACACGGGGGAUGCAAGCGUUAUCCGGAUUUAUUGGGUUUAAAGGGUGCGUAGGCUGUGAGGUAAGUCAGCGGUGAAGUGCCCCCGCUCAACGGGGUGAAGUGCCAUUGAUACUGCCUUGCUGGAAUGCGGAUGCCGUGGGAGGAAUGUGAGGUGUAGCGGUGAAAUGCAUAGAUAUCACACAGAACACCGAUUGCGAAGGCAUCUCACGAAUCCGCGAUUGACGCUGAUGCACGAAAGCGUGGGUAUCGAACAGGAUUAGAUACCCGGGUAGUC
rnacentral:rRNA from 1 species